rnacentral:rRNA from 1 species
GACGAACGCUGGCGGCGCGCUUAACACAUGCAAGUCGAACGGGAUUUAGUAGACAGAAGCCUCGGCUAAAGAUUACUAAUGAGAGUGGCGAACGGGUGAGUAACGCGUGAGCAACCUGCCUAUGACAGUGGGAUAGCCUCGGGAAACCGGGAUUAAUACCGCAUAAAAUCGUAGAAACACAUGUUUCAACGGUCAAAGAUUUAUCGGUCAUAGAUGGGCUCGCGUCUGAUUAGCUAGUUGGUGAGAUAACAGCCCACCAAGGCGACGAUCAGUAGCCGGUCUGAGAGGAUGAACGGCCACAUUGGAACUGAGACACGGUCCAAACUCCUACGGGAGGCAGCAGUGGGGAAUAUUGCACAAUGGGGGAAACCCUGAUGCAGCGACGCCGCGUGAACGAAGAAGGUAUUCGUAUCGUAAAGUUCUGUCCUAUGGGAAGAUAAUGACAGUACCAUAGAAGAAAGCUCCGGCUAAAUACGUG